ensembl:lncRNA
CUACCUUGAAAUCAAAUUGGAAACUGAGUGGAAAAAUAGUUCUCCUCUUGACCCUCUCUGCGUUUAUACUCCAAUCUACACCCAACGCAUGGCUUUGUUGUACACUCUGUAUGAGUGCCCUCUAUAAUUAAACCUUUAUUCAAAUCUCCUCCUGCCUUCUUCAUCACCCUUGGUUAGAUCAAAACAGGAGAGGCAAAAAAAAAAAAAGGAACUUGUCUGGGGUGCAGAAGCAGAGAGGAAGAGAUACUAUUUAAUGAAGCAGGCUAACGGUGGUGGGGAGAGAAAGUCUCAGUUCUCCCAUCUCAGAAACAUUGAGCCUGGAAAUAUUGCUGAAAUCACAUUUGGGAACAAAGCUCCGCUUUAAGUAGGCUCACCCAUGAGUGUUGCUAAGCAAUGGAGAGAAGGCGAGAGAGGGAGAGCGCCUGACUUCAGGAUUAGAAGGAUAGAUAGAAGGAAAACCACUAAGGCUUCUAUGUAGCCUUAUUUAAAGUCAGCUUCCAAGUCCUAUGUUUUUCUUGCCUGUCUUCUGACCUAUUUGCACCACAAUUAAUCAAAUAUGGUUCAGUAUCACCACGCAUCCAGCACAGAGUUGCGCCGCGUCCUGGAGCUCUGGCACAAGCAGUUACGCACCAGAACUGUCAACAUGUCUCCACAUUGAACAGAAAGGAAGGAGAGAAGAAGAAAUCUUUCCUAUCAGAAGCAGCAGGGGUUGCUGCAGGAAGAAGAUAAUUCCCCCCUGCUGCUCUACUGACAGCCAUCGAACUCCACAGGAGGAAAACGGCGUUUUAAUCAUGGAAUUGAAAAACACGGCAGUUCCCAAAUCUUCAUCUCACCUUGGUUGAUUUACAUACAUUUAGGACAAACUGGCUCACUGUGGAAUUAUGUUGUAUGUGGAAGAUAAGAGAGGAGCGAAGAAUUCAGGGUAAUUCCUAGUUUGUAGCUGUGUGUGUAACCCCUCCAGAGCAUCCCAGAUAAACCAUGACCACUCUUCCUUAAAAGCACUGUGCAGACUUCCUAAUUUCAAGUCAUGUGCCUUAUAGACUCAGUGCUAUUUAAAAAAAAUGUAAAGAUAAAAAGAUAAGCACCUUAUUAACAAUUGCAAGUCAAGGCCUGAUCAGGGUCCACCGAAGUCAUCAGAAAACCCACGACAGAGAUCCAGGGAGUUUUGGAUAUUUCAUCAGACUGUCAUUAUAACAAAGGCACCCCAGAAUGGGCCGGCUAAGAUGAAUGCAAAUCUUGCAUCAGAAACAGCCAGGCAUCCCCAAAAUUAAAAAUUUGAGCACACAGCAGAUUAUAGGCAGCAGCUUUGGGCAUGUGGCACAACAUCUGUUACAAAAACACUAGAAAGCAGACCUGCGGCAAACUGGACCUCUGCCAGCUCUCAGGAUUUUUUUUUUUCCCCCCUUGACAAGGCUGUCAGGAAAUGGACAGAUGGCAGCCGACGCACUCGCAGGAUAGUUAGUUCAGUUAACAGUCAAGUAUGCUAAAUGAUUUCAGAUUCACUCCGCACCAGGCAUUGUAUUUUGUACUGAAUCAUUAACGCUGGGUCCUAAUAGGAAUAUAGUUUGGUAGCAAGAAACUGGCAGAUAUUGUAUUUCACAAAACACUUUCUCUGGAACAAUUUGUCAGGGAACAUUAGAACUGCCUUCAUGAAUAAAGCCAGAAUUGGCCAAGUUUACCAAGCUGGUUCGUGCAUAAUCUUAACUCUACAGUAUUCAAAGAAUAGGGAUUGAAACAAACAUUAAGAUGCAGGGCAGAUAGUAGCACAAGUUGUUCCCACACGUGCACUCAGCUGAAAAAGCAGCGUUAGCCAUGCACAGCGUGUGGGAUACCUUAUCACUGUGGCUUGUCUGCCUUACCACGUGCAAGGCACUGAGCUCUCCCAGCAGGCCAGUUCUCACAAGCAGCCCUCUGGAUGGGAUGACAUGCUUUUCCCCCCGGCACACUGAUGUGAAGAUCUGACCCAGGAAAAUUGGUAUUUCUUGACUUUUAUAAGCGCAACCCAUAAAUGAAGUUGAGGCACUAUAUCUUCACGAGGCAAAUAACUCAGCAUUGAACACUGGUGAACAGCACACAGGUGGACUUCUAGCAUUAAGAGAACUAUCUUUUUAUUCUUCCUCUGUAUGAUCAUAUCUUCAACAGUGUGUUUUGUAGACUUAGUGAGAGGAUUACUCCAUCAUCUUGCCUUUUUUUUUUUUUUAAGUAGCAGUACAAGAGUAAUCUUUGGAAGAAAAUAUGUUUGAAGAAAACUCAAAGUUGCAAAGCAUUACUAGUGCCCGAACAACAAAGGAAUGACCUACAGAGUCAGGUGAUGGCCUACAGAACUGCAGGUGAUCUGACUUGCAGUAACAAUAUUACAUCAUGCUGUAAAAGACUUGUACCUUGGAUCCCACUCAAGAGCCCUCCAAAAGCACAGAUCUGACAGUGGAAUUUAAGAGCAGUCUCUGAAGUCCUACAGAACUGACAAACUACUCAUUUAGAGAGGCUCCACGCUGGGUGACUCCCAUGAUCUCCUUUUCUUUACAAACAGCAUUUCUUUUAAAAAGGCAUUGCCACCACUGCUGGUUUCAACACCACAAUCCCAGAGCAGCGGCAGAGCCCACAAAGGAACGUGGUCCUGAACAAGUCAACAGGCAUGGGUGAAAGGUCUGCAAGCAACGUCACGCUCCAAACCUCAACAGUUCACUUUUCAUUUGCACCAGUAUUUCUAUUUUUGCUCUGUGGCAAAAAUACCCAGAGGCAUUGGUUGGAGGGAUUUUUAAUCUAUGAUUUGUUUAACUUCAAAACAAUAAAUAAAAACUAAAAAUCAAUUAGAGCAGCCAGGAAGAGAGAGUGCUGCUUUUGUUGGCUGGAAAUGAAGAAGUUUAAUGUAUCCUUUCAUAAACAAACCUCCUCUAUACAUGAUUUUCUUCUAACAACAGGCAGGCUUCAAAAGACAUUUGGAGGUUUGGUUCAGGAUAGGAACCCAAAAGUUGAGAAAAUUCAGUUCUCUGCAAAACAGAGCUGAAAGUCUUGAGAACAGCAUGAGUGAAAUUUCCAGUGCUUCCCAUGUCUGCUCAAGCAGAGACAGUACUGUUAAAACAACCUCUCAGGCUGCUUUUCAGGAAACUGGCUAUUUUCUGCUGAACCAGCCAGAAACCAUUAAGUUCAAUACAUAAAAUAAUGAAAAGAGAAGUUGGCUGCCCUCAAAGGUAAACAGAGGUCAAGGUGGAGCUUGGCAUGCAGUUAUUCUUUGGUUAAAGAAAAAAAAGCUGCUCCAUGCAGAUCUGCUCAAAUUAAAAGAAAUAAUUUACAUAAAGUUUAUGAACUCAUCUGUUCAUCUUCCAGAAGUAAUUCAGUGGAUGAGAUUAUUAGCAGGGCCAUUAGCAGAUCUGAACUCUUUCUAGGAAAAAAAGAUGAUUUGUAUGUCUAAUAAAAAUGAAACCAUAAUGUUCAGUUUCAAUUUGACCAACUAAUUGUAUAUAUACUUUCCAAAUUAAUAAAAAUGAACUUCAGUAGGUUCUACUCAGCAUCAAACAAGCCAUACACGUGAGAAAAUUAUGAGUUAUCAGUAAGCAAUGAGGUUAAAAUGCAGUGAAUAAAUCACUUCCAGAACCUAGAAAAGAUUCUGCAGGAUAUCUCAUCCAGACAGGUUUGCUAUUCCUUCACUGACAGUACUACAUCCUCUGCAGCCCUAACAGCUCCUGUGUUUAGACACCCAGGGAAAGGGUUGGGCAUAUUCAUAGCAUAAAUGAAUAGCAGGAAUGACAGACAAACAAAUGUUCUUUCAGAGGCCUUGACUGACCGACCUCCUUCACAGGCCUCAAUACAAAAUCCACUGAUUGAGCACAGGUGCUCAAAACCAGUAUUUGCAGGCCUCAAGUUUUAGAGCACAUAGAUGGAGUUAAUAAAACUACCAGGACUCAGACACUAAGUACAGUUUUCCUCUUUUCCUUCUCACCCUGCAGACAAUCCCAUUUUAAUUACUGCCUAACUCUCCACAUAACUUCAUUCCUCACUGUACUCUUCAUUAUUCUCUUUUCUAGCCUCUUUCUCACCCCAAGGCAAGACUGAGAAAGCAAGGACUGUCAGAGAAAGAAGUUGGAGGGGAAGCCCUUCCCCAGCAGCCUGGGACAGAACAGAACAGGUUUUCAGAAAUCCCCUGCUUUCUCAUCUCAGACGGUGCCAGAGCAAAUAGCCAGAGAAAGCAAACACCUGAGCCCACGGCCAGGCUCCCCCUCACACACCCCACCGGCCUCCGCAGGCUGGUGGAUGCGAUCAGACAUGUUCCUAGCUCCAAGGGAUCCCUGAGUGAUAGAUUUUACAUCUCAACCUUCCAAAAGAAAGGUGAAGGUGAUCAAUCAGAAGUGCUAUUUGUUAUCAGUCCUAAGAGCUGCUUACGGUGCUACUGGCGGGAGGUGUAUUUUAAAUUUCAUCACCCACUGGAUAUCUGUCUUCUGCCUCUGUUAAUUCCCAAGGCUGAUCAGAGCAAUCUAGCUAUACCUAUGGCCUAGAGAGAUUUUGGAGCAGUGCAAGUCAAAACACCCUUGCCUUGCAAAAACAUUAAAAAUAGAUACUUUGAUUGCACUUAAAAAGGAAGCAUGCUUUGACCCAGACAAGUCCAGGCUAGAUUGCCCAUGACCUUGACUAAUCUUUUCUUGGCAUGUUUUUGAGUGCAUCAUCUCCCUUGAGCACAGCACAUGCAGCACUCCCAGUUCCUAAUGCAGCUCUUUUUUUUUCCCCCAGGCAUGCUCAGAUGAAGAAUUUGAAGCUAGGUUUUCCUUUAAGGGCAAGGGAGGACUAGAAGUUUAGAUAUCCACAGUAAAAUUCUGGGGACGAAGGAGAAGAGUGUAAAAUUGCAAAGUCCUGAUUGUAUAAGAACAAUGAAUAAGUUCCCAGAGGGAAGAUUAGAACAAGAAAGAGUGAUGGUGCUAGGAAGGAGGAAGCACUGGGAUAGGAAUCACCUCUCAGGAGAAGCUCUGUAUCCCAGAAGCAAGUCAAUUAGGAUUCCUUCCGAAAGGAAGGGUGCUGAGGCUUCAUCACAAAGCAGUAUUAGCCUCUGGCUUUGCACCUUCCUGACCUGCCCCACACAAAAGCACCUACAAUCAUCAGUUGAACUGGUUCUGUAAGCAUUUCUGUCCUUGGAAUUUAUUGUUCACUCUUUCUUAGACAAGAUCCCAAUGUAUUUUUUGCUGAAUCUAGAUUUAUUUUGUGACUUAACGUGUUUGUGUUAAACCACAGAGACAUGUGACCUAAGCAGUGCCUGCCAUACAACAGGAUGCAGCAGCAUUUAGAUCACCCAGGUCAACUAAACAAGGAAGAACUGGAUACAAUUAUUCCAAAAACCUCAGCUGAGGUGUAAUAAGUUGCCCUAGCCAACAAAUCCUCAUCCUUGCCCUAGAGGCUAUAGUUCAUCAGAUACCUUAAUUCACAGUUAUGCAGCAACUUCUAUCCUAUGACCACAAAAGCCUCUUACAGACUGUACAUACAGAAUAAUUCAUGCAUACAUGCAUGCAAUUCAGCAGAUGUAGCCACACUAAAGUUGAAAGCAAUGUUACAUUCUCGACUCUUAGUGAAGUUUGAGGACAUGCUUUUUUAAGCCAGAUUUCUUCCUUUAACCAAAGAAGCACCACACGCUAAGUGGUAUAAAUUUUCUUAUGCAGGGAAUAAGGUCCUAAUUAUUGCUUAAUUUUGCCAGUUCCUAUGAAUCACCAGGAAAAGAUUAAAGCAAGAGUAAAUGUUGGUUCCUUGUCCUGUUUACAGUAAUCAGCUCAAACAAAGUAACUUGAGUCACUUACAUCAUUAGAAGGUGCAUAUGGUUACAUUUUUCUCAUUAAGUUUGCACAGAAGAAAGGAGAUAGAUGCCUGCAGACAGAACUCCCUGCAAACAACUGUUAGUCUGAUGAAUUAAGGAAGUCUAAGAACUCCAUGCCUGCCUACUAAUGCAAUGCUCUUUUUCUUAAGAUUCAUAUUUGAGCUGUUCCCCAUGACAGGUAUGAGUAGGGUGGCAGUGGAGAGUUAAGAACAACGCAGACAAACAGAAAACUGAGCCUUGCACAGACCAACAGCCUUAUAUUUAUCAGCAGCCAAAGACUUCUGUGGUGCAGCCAAGUAGCCAAUAAGUGAAAACCACCACCUACCAACCUCCCCACUGCAAAGUAUGUUUUAUCCUGAAAGCUGGCUACUAAAUUCAUUUUCCAGGAGAGCCUUAACAUAGAGAGCAAGUAAUACUAAAUGUACUACAUCCUGCUGGCAUUCCUUUCAUCCCAUAGGAUAAUACAAACUAUUUAAAUCAAGUAUCUAUGCCUUUUUGCUCCAUCAUUCUUUUUCUUAAGUGUCCAGAUGUUUGAUUAUUCCUCUCAUUGGUUAGAAGGAAACUGAGCCAGAAAAUCAGGAUGAAUAGCACGAGGAUGAGUGGGCACCAUUUCAGAAAGUCUGUGCCUUAAACCCAUUAGUAUUCACAAUGUUUAAGUGCCGUGAUACUCAAUUCAUUUUAUUGCAAUAACAAAAUAGCCUGUUUUGCCAUCAUAAGUCAGAUAAUCAAGGAUGUAAGCAUUUUACCUCUAAAAGCUUGCACAGCUAUACCACCAGUUGGUCAUUAUGGGUGUGCAAUAGUACUUAAAUAUUUCUUUAAAAGGGAAGUCCAGGUUUUCUUCCCUUUUGGCUCAACUCUUAUUUACUGAAAAUUAAAGACAAGUUAUCUCCUUAAAAGAAAUUGACAAUUACGAUGCCUUGCAAAAAGAUCUGGCCUUUGAAGUACGAAAUUCUGUUCCAGUGAAAGAAAUGCAGAAUAGUUCACAAACUCAACCAUAUGAAUCUUUCACACAACUCUGGAAUUACAACCACAAAGAGGUGUCUUGGUGUAAUCACCCUAUCAGUCCAAUCUGAAUGUCAAAAAGAGAAAGCUGAAAAGUUUGGGUUCAAAUCUGGCCUGCUUACAGGCCGCGUUAUAAAAUACCUCCACAUUUAUUGUAAAAAACCUCAAAGCUCAUUACUGUUUUCUUUUUCCUGUAAAUAAUCCAUUUCACCCCUUUGCCCAGAAGCAACCAACUUAACAGUGGAAUGCAGCAGCUUGUUCCUAACACAACUAUAUUGAAGCAAAAAAAAAAAAGCUAUAUGCAACCAGAUCUAAAAAGAAAAAACACAAUCAUUCACAUGAGAUUUUGAACAAGAUGAGGGCCCGCUCAGUUCUCCUCCUGGAGAAGAAAAUAUCCCUUGACUUCAGAAUGAAUGACGGGAGAGGUUUUUUGAUCUGUGCAAUGCUGGCAAGGCACAGCCUCGCCUAAGCGCAAUGCCUGGACACUGGCUUGCUCCCAAGCCUGUGAACAUCACAGGCUGAAGGCACAGAAGAGCUCUUAGUUUCUGUAGCAAUUCCACUCAGUUUCUGCUUCCCAAGUAUGAUUAAAAAAAAAAGUAUGCAGUCUUCCUUUUCUGCUCAUAAUCCCCAAAUUGUUUUGAAUUCAUCCAGUUGCUUGCUUACAAGAUUACCAGGAAUACUUUUAUUUCAUUCAGUUACAAAUCAGUCUGAUCAGCACCUUCUACUGAAGUUCAAUGAUUGAAAAAAAAUCUUUUUCAAUCACUAAAUAGCAAUAACAAGAAUGCCGUUACUCCAACGAUUAAUGUUUUAAUAGAAAGAGUGCCCAGUUACCUAGAUUAAUCAUGUUAAAGGGAUUAAAAAGAAUGGUAUUUCUGCAUUACUUCCCUGGGCACAUUGCAUUCCUCUUCCAUUGAAUCCCUGUACAAUACUUUUUAAAUUACUACCAAUUUAAAGAGCAAAUGUUGCUCUGAGUAUAACCGGGAGAGUUACUGGUAAUUCCUUUCCAAUGGCAGUUGUCAAAGAUGUUUGAUCUUGAACAGUAAUUGCCACUACACGUUUAACAAAAUGAUUUAUGAUCAAACUUCAUAACUCUAUGUACACCAUUCUUAGACACUCACUGCAGCAACCAGCAUGUCUUCUGGUGUCUGUCUUCUGGUGUCUUCUGGAAAACACAACGUUUUCUAAAAACUGGAGAACUCCACCAUUCCGUGACAGCAGUAAUAGUCCUCAGCCAUCUCAACUUGCUAGACAGAUUUUUUUCAGUGCUAACUUUGCUGAAGACUACUUUGCAGUCUUUAGUUUGGUGUCUACAUAUGCCAAGCACUUCUUAGCAACAUCUUUCUACUUCCCAACACCAUGAAAAACUGCCAAGUUGCAUCAACUUCCUGUUCUACAGUAAACUAAACCCUCCAACCAGCCCAUCACCCUCCCCUUACCACCCCCUUUUAAAAAAUAAAUUUAAAGAUUAAAUUUCCUCUCAAAAAAUAAAAUAAAAUAAAAAUCACUCCUUUCAAACAUCCACAAGACUUGAAAUGUUUUACAAUGGAAAGUCUUAGAUUGGUUUACAACUACUAACUUGCUUUCUUUUCUCCUCCAGCUUGCUACAUUCAGCUGAUCUCUCAACAUUUUCAUUGUUUGACAGAGCUGUUCAAACUUUAGAAUCAGUUUUUAGCAAAUGCCUUCACGAGUCCAAGUGCUGGCUUUGCUGCUUCAUUGUUUGUUUGUAUGAUGGUGACUCAACCAUUAGAUACUCAGAGUAUUUCCAAAUGAGAGAAGUUCUACAGAUAUCAGUAUUCCACAAGAGACAGCACUUAGCAGAUAUUAUCUUGUAAUGCUUUGCACGACCUAUUUGUAACUAGUCAUUUAGCUUUCAAAGAUAAAAUAGAAGCCAAGCAGUAAAAAAAGAGAAGUCUUUGCCAUCCAUCUAGAAAGAACUCCUAAGCUGUGUGAGCCAAAGUGGCUAAGCACUCACCAGAGUGAAAAGUUACCAAGCCGCCCAUGAUGAAAAUUACUAAAAUGUAUUUGUGACUAAAGCUGUUAAUUAGCAGUCAACUUUCAUUUGAGAUUAGAAAAGUGGGAGCAUUUGCCAGCUCCAGCCCUAUCCUGCAUUCACCUGUGAGGGAAAGCUGACCAAAACGUCAACGAAGCUUUGUGAAAUCCCAGUACAUUACAGAACUAUCUUCAGUAGAACAUGCAAAUAGUACUGGUGCUUCAUUCACAGCUCUCUACACAGCUGACUACUAUAAGGAAAAAGAACAUUUUUUUCCCUGCUGAUCAUGAGGUUUUACAGGAAGAGCUCCAGUGCUCCCUUAGCCUGUAUAUUCUGAAGUCCAGUGCUGCUCCCAAUUAGGCCAGGGUAAUAACUCAGUUUUUAAGUGGAUUUAGGCUAUUUCCUGCUUUGUUAUUCAAGGCCAAGCAGGCCUGCGUUCUAGUGCAGCAGCAGUCCUACUGGCAGGCCCAUUAACAAAUCAGCAGAAGCCCAUCCAUCCAAGUAAAUUUCAGAACCAUUUGACUUCGAUUUAAACAUCUCCCUCUAGUCCUGAGCAAUGUUUUCCUCUAAGACAUUCUUCAAACACUUCUUUCCAGCAUUACCAAUUGGGUCUAGACGUUACUCUGCAUUUUAAAAUGAGGUACUGAGUUUCAGGCCAUACCUCUGCCCAUGACAGAAGGGCACUGAUGACGGGCACAAAACUUAGGAGGUGUUACAGAGCAUUUUACCUCUUAAGCAGAACAACUCCCAGAUGUGUUGAGCAAAGAGAUAGAAAGAAUGAGGCAGUUCAGAAGGCAAGCAGCAAACAGAGGAGUUGGAUAUCCUGACAAAGCAGAACCAGACAAUUCAAAUUGUUUUCAAAUAUUUUUUCUUUCCUUACCAAUGAAAAUUAUGAGAACAAAGAAAGAGAAACUCAGCAUGUUUUUCCUUUUCCUAUAAACCAGCACCAAGCUACAGACUUCCUCCUUUUAAUACUGUUAUCCAACAGGUAACUGCAGCAUGAGGGGGGAAAAAGACGAAUGGGAGACUAAGAACUGAUUUAUAUUAGGAAGAUUAUCAGUAACAUUUGCACAGAGGUAAAAGUAGAUAACAGCACGAUGAAUGUCAACUAGAAAUAGCAGAGAUGGUGCAAAUGACAUCUUGAUUUCAUCAGUCUGCUAUUACAUCAGCCCUUGGCCACUAACAGGCAACAGUUUUUUUUUUCUGGAAAUCGCAAAUUUGCACUUUCGGUAUAUGCAUGCCUGGAUGGAGAAGACAGAAGACAACAUGUUUAAGAGAGCAUUUUGGUAUUGAAGUACAAAUGCUUAUACUGUUAUCCUUUGCAAUGAGGAAAGAACUGUUCUGCACUUCUUCAGUUACAGCUCACCACUUAUCCUAAAAACAAGACUUCCUGGAAGAGAAGUGAAAAGACUUAUAAAUUGUUUAUCUCUUUCAGAGCUUAAAUCAGCAACUUUAUAUCUUAAGCCGUAAAUUAUAGUAGCUAUGCUAUCUGUUGUAGUCUGGUUCUAUAAAAAUAUCAUCAUUAAUGGUCAUCACCACUCGCCUCUUUACAUCUUCUGUCUGGUGAUAGCUUUCCUCAUAAAGAAGUAAAUAAGCCACAGAGCAGCCUGAUCUGUCCUCCACAUAAUUGCAGUAACCCAUUACCUGCUUCACAACAUCACGUAGGUAGCCCCAUCAGGGACAAGGACCACAUCAUCCUAGGUACAGUGCAAACAAACCAGAAAAGACAAUCCUUGCCCCAAAGGCAUCUUAGUGUAAGCAAAAAGGAAUCUAAUGACAAAACCAAGCUGGAACUGACUCCUGCACAGAAGACAAAAGAAAAGUAGGACUUCAGUAGGGUAAAGACCUUCAGCAAUUUUUCUUCCUUAGGUUAACUUCUCCUGUAUUAAAUGUAGCUCCUGUAUCAAAUGCAUUUUUUCUGUACUAAAUGUACUGAAUAUUAGAAGUUGUCAUGUCCUCAUAUAGAGCAAAAUAAAAUAACCUCAUCUCAUGUAACAAGAACUAAUAGAAAAAGAUUUAAACUUUAAAUGAACUCACCAAUUGUUAAUCCUAAAGUAUCAUAGUUUACCAACAGAUAUUUACAUAGCAGAAGCACAGCAGAUACACAGUUGGUACUAAUGAUCUUGUAUCUAUAAGGUAACAGGUUUCCAAAACUGACAGUGGCACUGAGUAGGUCAAAGAGUUAACCCUGAAUGUCAGACUUCCCCAGGAGGUGUUGCGUGAUAUCUAAGGACAUGUUCCCCCCCUGCCCCAGAAAAGCAUUAAAACUGAUACCUUCCCCGGGCACUGCCACACGAUUGCCUUGGAUCUUUGCACUCCAAUGCACCCUCCUACACAGAGACCAAUACAAGAUCACCUUAACAGCAGUGUGCUCCUUCUGCCAUCCUUCACUGACCCCAUGCCAGGGAAACUGAAGAAUACAGACACCUCAAAUAAAUUAUGUUAAGGUAGGAAAGAUAUUUUCUGAAGUCAUUAAACAUUGUUGAGAGAUGACUAGCCCAAGGGCUCAGCACCAACAAGACUAUAGAUGGACAAGUAGUUCCUCCUUCCGUUUCUCAAAUUCAUCCCAUGAGGAUGAAUCUAAAAAUACCCUGCAUUUGCUAUAUGGACAUCGAUUAAGCAUUCUUAUCCCAAAUCUACAAGUAACCUAAUUGGUGGGACUGCUGUAAUUUUUCACACAAUUUCAUCGCAAUUUCCUCCACACAAAAAUGUUAAAAAGUAAUAGAAAUGUUUUAAAAGAAAAUAAGAUUAGCUGCAUCUACAGUGGAAGUCUCUUAUAUGUUUAUUUUGACCUUUUUAAUUAAAAGACUCAAUUUUGCUAAAACUACAGCUACCACAAAAAGAAUAAUCAUUGAAUCAGAGAUUUGAAUACAAAAAUACAAAAUAGGAAACCAAUUCUCUCACAUAAAGAGCCAAAGUCUUGACAGUAAGGUGGAAGACUGUUAGAAAGAAGCAUGAGGUCAAGUACUCAGAAUGCAAAUAAUCCACCCAGACCUAGGAGUUUAUAUCCACAGUAACCACACUGAGAUAUCUGCCAAAGUUCAACUGCAGCUCAAGUUUCAGGGGGGGGGAAAGAAAUGCACAACAGAAAACAUCCAUUUAGACUCAAAAAGAGCAGCUUUAAAAGAUGCAAGAGCAACAUCUCACAACUAGAAACUGAAUCUGUUUUAGUAAAGCACAGCUUUUCAUGAACAAUAAAGUACCACCCUGAUGUCCUAUGAAACGUAGCUCAGUCAUGAAGUCCACCCGAAACAUUUGCUUACAACAUUUGCUUUUGAAUUUUAAAAAAGUCACAGCACCAUUUAACUAACUAAUCUGAGGCAACCACAUACUACAAUGAUAGCCACAGGAAGCAAAACCAAAAGGACAUUCUAAGAAAUGGAUGGGCUAAAAUACUUCAUUUCUUCAUAUUACUGCAGUAUUCGGGAGACCUAAUGAACCCAGAUCAUACUGUGCUAGACACGACUGUUCAGCCAAUUUAUAAACCAGACAUGCCUCUCAGUGAACAAAAGAAAGUACAUGCUAAUAAUGUUAUUACAGCAUCACGGCAGCAUUAUCUUAGACAAUGAGAAAUGUGAAAGUUUUAUAUGCUUUCCUUAUUGUUAUUAAAAGUAGCACUGUUACCUUGGCAACUGCUGAACCACUUGGGAAUUUGCUAAAGAAACCCAAAUGUUACUUGUACUUGCACAUUUGCAAUCAAUUUAGGGGAAACAAUUGGGUUUUGAUGAUUUUUAGUUUGUUUUUGAAAAAAAUCACACAUUUUUUCCUUAUGAGGACUAUGACUCUGCAACAGUCAUUUUUUUUUUCCAUGAAUAAAUGAAUUCUUGGGAUUAAGCCACAUGUUGUCUUAUUUGCACCCAAAGCAAUCUAUACUUCAGUAUGCAAUAAGAGUCUAGUUAACCCACCUAAGUUAUUGUCCAGAAAUACAAUAACAGACACCAUCCAGUGCACAGAGGAACACAUGUGAACAAGCAUCCCACCAAUUGCGCAGGUACUGGGAAG